rnacentral:rRNA from 1 species
GACGGGGACCCGGCCACAAGCGGUGGAGCAUGUGGUUUAAUUCGACGAUACGCGAAGAACCUUACCUGGCCUUGACAUACUAAAAAGACUUUAAGAGAUUAGAGUGUGCUAGCUUGCUAGAAUUUAGAUACAGGUGCUGCACGGCUGUCGUCAGCUCGUGUCGUGAGAUGUUGGGUUAAGUCCCGCAACGAGCGCAACCCUCGUGUUUAGUUGCUAACAGUUCGGCUGAGAACUCUAAACAGACUGCCUACGCAAGUAGGAGGAAGGUGAGGACGACGUCAAGUCAUCAUGGCCCUUACGGCCAGGGCUACACACGUGCUACAAUGGGGUAGUACAAAGAGCAGCGAUACGGUGACGUGGAGCAAAUCUAGAAAAUAGCCUCCUCAGUUCGGAUUGUAGUCUGCAACUCGACUACAUGAAGUUGGAAUCGCUAGUAAUCGUAGAUCAGCAAUGCUACGGUGAAUACGUUCCCGGGUCUU